UGCGAACAUUGGCACAAUCUUGUAAUUUCUGUAAUUGUUUACGAGAUUCUUUGAUACGCGAUCGCCUGGUCAUAGGAAUCAACGAUAAUGCAACUCAAAAAAAGCUAUUGCAAGAUCGAAAACUCACCUUGACAAAAGCCAUCGACAUCUGUCGCAGUAGCGAGACCACGAAGAAACAAGUCAAGAAAAUCCAGGCGAACAGCGAAGCAAAUGAGGGCGAAAUCAACGCCAUUGUAAACAACAAAACCGAAACCGGAAGCACAGGAACCGGAAGCACAGGAACCGGAAGCACAGGAACCGGAAGACGCGAUGACAGGCGUAUCGGACUUGAUAGGCGUGACGGGGGGCGUGACAACAAAAUUAAAUGCAAAUAUUGUGGAACAGUGCACCAACGAAAAAAGGAAUUAUGUCCUGCAUUUGGAAGCCGCUGCCGGAAUUGUGGUCGCGAAAAUCACUUCGCC